UACAGAGGUCCCAAGCGUUGUUCGGAUUCACUGGGCGUAAAGGGUGCGUAGGCGGUCGGGUAAGUCUGAUGUGAAAUCUCACAGCUUAACUGUGAAACUGCAUUGGAUACUAUCCGGCUUGAGGAAUGGAGGGGAGACUGGAAUACUUGGUGUAGCAGUGAAAUGCGUAGAUAUCAAGUGGAACACCAGUGGCGAAGGCGAGUCUCUGGACAUUUCCUGACGCUGAGGCACGGAAGCCAGGGGAGCAAACGGG
rnacentral:rRNA from 1 species